UCCAGAUGUGGUGGCACACAUCUGUAAUCCCAGCUACUUGGGUGACUGAGGCUGCAGAAUUUCUUGAGCCAAGGAGUUCUAGGUUAGCUUGGGCAAUAUAGUGAGACCCUGUCUCAA
rnacentral:sRNA from 1 species